AUAGAUAUGGGAUCGUAUGACAUGAAAAUAAAUUAGUACAAGGAAAUAAAUUUAACUUAAUUAAAUAAAUAAUUAGAAUUUUAAAGAAAAAUCUAGAAGUUGUUGGAUAAAAGUUAAAAGUCAAAGACUUAUCUUCUCUCCCUCAUGAUUUUCGUCCAUGAGCAGCUCCCCACAACCUCCAUAGCCAAAAACCUUCUUUCUCAUUUAUUUGGCUCGUUCGUCGGCAAAUCGGGGAUUUAAUCGUAUAAAACAUAGCAAAUCAACUACACCCAAAUGUAGCAAAUGAAAGGAUAAAGGAUUGGCGAAAGAAGAAAUGUCGAAUGGAAAGGUUUGGAAAUAACGUCAUCCAGGUUAAUUGGAUCGGGGAUUCCUUUGGAUAUUUCUUUCGUUUCUUCGCCAGCACUGCAUCCUCGGUGGGUCACUGAUCACUGCUUGCUGCGUUUGUGUCCAUUUCUGUUAGAUGUGGCAUGUAUAGUAUUUGAAUAUUUGUAAUAGCUUCUGCUGUGUUUGUAAAUGGUGUUGGAAUUUUUGCUGAUAGGUUAAUGAAUUAAGUUUGGUUUUUAAGUGACCAUAA